GCCUGAUAUUGAAUUUUGGUACAGUUUGUACAGGAUAGGCGGGAGCCAUUGAAACCGGAGCGCUAGCUUCGGUGGAGGCGCUGGUGGGAUACCGCCCUGACUGUAUUGAAAUUCUAACCUACGGGUCCUAUCGACCCGGGAGACAGUGUCAGGUGGGCAGUUUGACUGGGGCGGUCGCCUCCUAAAGUGUAACGGAGGCGACCAAAGGUUCCCUCAGAAUGGUUGGAAAUCAUUCGUAGAGUGCAAAGGCAUAAGGGAGCUUGACUGCGAGACCUACAAGUCGAGCAGGGACGAAAGUCGGGCUUAGUGAUCCGGUGGUUCCGCAUGG
rnacentral:rRNA from 1 species